rnacentral:rRNA from 1 species
AUACAGAGGAUGCAAGCGUUAAUCGGAAUUACUGGGCGUAAAGCGCACGUAGGUGGUUCAUUAAGUCAGAUGUGAAAGCCCCGGGCUCAACCUGGGAACUGCAUUUGAAACUGGUGAGCUAGAGUAUGGUAGAGGUAAGUGGAAUUCCAGGUGUAGCGGUGAAAUGCGUAGAUAUCUGGAGGAACGUCAGUGGCGAAGGCGACUUACUGGACCAAUACUGACACUGAGGUGCGAAAGCGUGGGGAGCAAACAGGAGUAGAUACCCUAGUAGUCC